rnacentral:tRNA from 3 species
GCCGACGUGGCGGAAUUGGUAGACGCGCACGCUUCAGGAGCGUGUGGGAGCAAUCCCAUGAGAGUUCGAUUCUCUCCGUCGGCACCA